rnacentral:lncRNA from 1 species
GGAGGGUAGUGUGUACGCAGACCUUACCCCUACGCUGAGUAGAGAGGUUGUAAUAGUCCCCCGGCAUCCUUUCCUCCAAGAAUUUCCUACCUUGCUCUUGGGGAGACUCGAACUCACAACCCCUCGGUUGGAAGUGAGGUUUGCUUACCCUCUUAGCAAGAAAUUACGUUGAACUACUAAAAACUAAAAUCUUGGAGGAGAAAAAAUGAAGAUAAAAAAUAUGAAGAACGGCUGAAUUGGCAGAAGAAAAAUGAUAAAAUAAUUUAUAGG